UAGGGAAUAUUGCACAAUGGGCGAAAGCCUGAUGCAGCAACGCCGCGUGCACGAUGAAGGCCUUCGGGUCGUAAAGUGCUUUUCGGGGAGAUGAGGAAGGACAGUAUCCCCGGAAUAAGUCUCGGCUAACUACGUGCCAGCAGCCGCGGUAACACGUAGGAGGCAAGCGUUAUCCGAAUUUACUGGGCGUAAAGCGCGUGCAGGCGGUUCGGUAAGUUGGAUGUGAAAUCUCCUGGCUCAACUGGGAGAGGUCGUUCAAUACUGUCGGACUAGAGGAUGGUAGAGGGAGGUGGAAUUCCCGGUGUAGUGGUGAAAUGCGUAGAUAUCGGGAGGAACACCAGUGGCGAAAGCGGCCUCCUGGACCAUUCCUGACGCUCAGACGCGAAAGCUAGGGGAGCGAACGG
rnacentral:rRNA from 1 species